rnacentral:rRNA from 1 species
AUGUCUGUUCUGAAAUAUGUGGAGAAAGAAGGUAAAAAUGAAAAGAAAAGUCAGGCGCGUGGUCUUGUAGCAUAUUUUAAGACCUUUGAUUUUGUGUUUUAUUUGCACAUGAUGCUGCAUAUAUUAGGAAAUGCAAAUACUUUGUCACAUUCUUUACAAAAGAAGGAGCAAGACAUCCUAAAUGCCAUGUCAUGUGUCAAGUCCACAAGGAAUGAGCUACAAGAACUAAGUGAGAAUGGAUGGGACUCACUGAUACGGAAGGCAUAUUCAUUUUGUGAAGAACAUCACAUUGAGAAGGCGGAUAUGCAGGAGCAAUAUAUCAAUCGACACAAACCAAGACAAAAAACUAAUAAGACAAACCUCCAGCAUUACCGAGUAGAGUGUCUUAAUUUUGUCAUUGACUGUCAACUUCAAGAGUUUGAUGACCGUUUCAAUGAGGUAAAUUCUGCAUUACUUGGUCACAUGGCUUCUUUCAACCCAAACAAUGGAUUUGUUGCUUUUAACUUGGAUAGCUUAGUGAAGCUAGCUGAGUUUUAUCCAGAUGAUUUUGAUUCAAAAAAAAUGGAUGAUCUUGGUCCUGAACUGCGCACUUGCAUUGAUAAUGUGCGGGCGGAUGAAAGGUUUGCUAAUUUGGACGGGAUUGCUGAUCUUGUGAAGUUAAUGAUGCAGACAAAUAAACAUGUUUCUUUUCCCUUGGUCUAUCAUCUUCUAAAGUUAGUAUUCAUAUUACCAGUUGCAACUGCAUCUGUGGAGAGAUGCUUUUCAGCUAUCAAUGUUGUCAAGAAAAAGUUGCACAACAAAAUUGGUGAUCAGUUCAUUAGUGAUUGUCUAAUUUGCUAUGUGGAGAAAGAUAUGUUUUCUCCCAUUAGUAAUGAUGAUGUGUUUGAUCUUUUUAAGGCGAUAAAAGAUCGAAAAGGGAAGCUCUAA